rnacentral:rRNA from 1 species
GGGUAGGGUGACCUGCGGAGGGAUCAUUACACAAAUAUGAAGGCGGGCUGGAACCUCUCGGGGUUACAGCCUUGCUGAAUUAUUCACCCUUGUCUUUUGCGUACUUCUUGUUUCCUUGGUGGGUUCGCCCACCACUAGGACAAACAUAAACCUUUUGUAAUUGCAAUCAGCGUCAGUAACAAAUUAAUAAUUACAACUUUCAACAACGGAUCUCUUGGUUCUGGCAUCGAUGAAGAACGCAGCGAAAUGCGAUAAGUAGUGUGAAUUGCAGAAUUCAGUGAAUCAUCGAAUCUUUGAACGCACAUUGCGCCCUUUGGUAUUCCAAAGGGCAUGCCUGUUCGAGCGUCAUUUGUACCCUCAAGCUUUGCUUGGUGUUGGGCGUCUUGUCUCUAGCUUUGCUGGAGACUCGCCUUAAAGUAAUUGGCAGCCGGCCUACUGGUUUCGGAGCGCAGCACAAGUCGCACUCUCUAUCAGCAAAGGUCUAGCAUCCAUUAAGCCUUUUUUUCAACUUUUGACCUCGGAUCAGGUAGGGAUACCCGCUGAACUUAA